AGGCGUGGGUGUGUUUCCGGCACUGUUUGCUACCAGCUAGCUAAUGUUUGGUCUCCUUAUCUUAGGAGAGGGUAAUGGCUGGUGCCAGCAUGGAGGCCGCCUGAUCUCAAUCUGACUCUAAAGUUAUUAACAGAGCUACCAGGAGGCAGGCCUCCGUGUGGGCCCGCAGCCAGAGCUUCAGGAAGAGGGCCUAAGGAAGAAGAACAGACUUGGCCUCCGGUUACUAGGUAACCUAAGAGGAACAUCUUUUAAUAGAGCCCCAAAUCUGCAUCAUCAGGGCCUCCUGCUCUCACUGUGUUCCAGGAAGUACUCCCUUCCAGGUACCUGAGCACACACAGUGUUUUUCUACAGUUGGAGGUGAGAGGAUGGAUUGAGAAGGAGUAGCAGAGAUCUCAGCCCCUGGAAACUUGGAUUAAUCAACUGACAUCUGGGUAUUCUUUUGCAGGAAUCCAAGUUUCUUGUAAGGUGGAGGAAGCUCUUCAAAGAAGAAAGGAGUUGGGAAUCCUUAUUCCCCCAGCAAUGAGCAACUGUAGAAACACUCCUCUCACAGACCUGGCAAAUGGCUUCUAGUGUUUUUGGUCCAAACACUACAUCUCCCCAGCUCUGUGUCACAUCUUGGCGCUGCAUAGCCCAGUAGUACCACAUCAUCUCGUGGCACUGAGCCAAGAGCGUGCCCGGCGGCGCUUAGCACCAUACAGGAAGUCUGUGGGGCCCUGCAAGCUCCCUCUACCACACUCCUACUGGAGCAGAGGAGGAGAUUAUCAGGCGGCAAAGUCAUGGUGUUGCUAUGAUUACUCUGAUGUGUAAUAAAUCUGUGUGGUGUGAUAAAUUAA